GGUGCCUUGCCUUGCGUGGAAUCGGUGUCAGCGGUUGAGCCAACACUUCUUGACCGGGAGCCCUACAUUUCGUGAGGAACUGGUAGCCCUUCGGGGAAGCACGAACUCACGGUGCGGGCACCCACCUGCUUAGGCAGGUUCACCCGGCCGACCACGCAGGGCGGGGUUCGG
rnacentral:other from 1 species